UACGUAGGGGAUGAGCGUUGUCCGGAAUUACUGGGCGUAAAGGGCGCGCAGGCUGUAGAUCAAGUCAGCUGUGAAAUGUCUGGGCUUAACCCGGGCAUGCGGUUGAAACUGAUGUACUGGAGUGCUGUAGAGGCAAGUGGAAUUCCCAGUGUAGCGGUGAAAUGCGUAGAUAUUGGGAAGAACACCGGUGGCGAAGGCGACUUGCUGGGCAGCAACUGACGCUGAGGCGCGAAAGCCAGGGGAGCAAACGGGAUUAGA
rnacentral:rRNA from 1 species